rnacentral:ncRNA from 1 species
ACCUGGGCUUCCAUUUCGCGAUCGGACAAGCCGCCGCAAAUUUGGAUAAUACGGUCAGACAGCGUCGAUUUGCCGUGGUCGAUGUGGGCAAUAAUAGAAAAGUUACGUAUAUUCUUCAUAGUUAGAGGUUUUUAUGCCUUACAAAUCCGGGAAAGCUCGGCGCUACGCGCUGUACAGAGCAUGAUGUCAAUGGCUGUCUUUUGCCUGAAACGCCGCAUUCUACACUACAACCAGAAAGCGAGGAAACAGGUCAUCAUGCAAGCUUAGUUGAGCGAUGAAAAGCCGAUGGAGUGAGUGUCAAAACAGAUGGUGGGCAGCAGGUGCUUCACGAGUUAUCUGCAGGCGUCAUGGUUUCGACUCUGAGCGCAUCUGGCGGCAGAGCAACGCUGAGAAUAACCGGCUGCCAGUUUUCACGGCGACUGAGUUUCACAGAGAACCCGCGUGCGAUAAGAAAACCGCCUACGCCUCCCAGUAAUGCACCACAAAUCGCGGCAAGGUUUGUAUCAAACAUCGCCUGAAAAAGAGCAGAUACGAUAAACAAACCGACCAGUGGAGACAUGUAAACCAGUAAUGCAGAGCCUAUCAGGCUGCCUUCAGCGAUGCCCAAUUCGACUUUUUGACCGGCUACCAGCGGAGUAUCGCAGGCAACCGAUAAGGUGUGACUCGUUUGUGGGCCGAGCUUAUUAAGGAUACGACUACCGCAGCCAGCGCGUGAAGCACAGCUGCUGCAAGAUGCUUUCACAUCGCAGCUUAAUAAUGCUUCACCUUGUUUCCAGGAGACAACGGUUGCCCACUCUUUGAUCAUUGCCCAUUCCUGAAUUUGAUGCUGUCCGCAAUACGU